rnacentral:rRNA from 1 species
CCAGAGAACUUAGCAGAGAUGCUUUGGUUCCUUCGGGAACUCUGAGACAGGUGCUGCAUGGCUGUCGUCAGCUCGUGUUGUGAAAUGUUGGGUUAAGUCCCGCAACGAGCGCAACCCUUAUCCUUUGUUGCCAGCGGUCCGGCCGGGAACUCAAAGGAGACUGCCAGUGAUAAACUGGAGGAAGGUGGGGAUGACGUCAAGUCAUCAUGGCCCUUACGAGUAGGCUACACACGUGCUACAAUGGCGCAUACAAAGAGAAGCGACCUCGCGAGAGCAAGCGGACCUCAUAAAGUGCGUCGUAGUCCGGAUUGGAGUCUGCAACUCGACUCCAUGAAGUCGGAAUCGCUAGUAAUCGUAGAUCAGAAUGCUACGGUGAAUACGUUCCCGGGCCUUGUACACACCGCCCGUCACACCAUGGGAGUGGGUUGCAAAAGAAGUAGGUAGCUUAACCUUCGGGAGGGCGCUUACCACUUUGUGAUUCAUGACUGGGGUGAAGUCGUAACAAGGUAAGCGUAGCGAG